rnacentral:rRNA from 1 species
GAUGAACGCUGGCGGCGUGCCUAAUACAUGCAAGUCGAGCGAACAGACGAGGAGCUUGCUCCUCUGACGUUAGCGGCGGACGGGUGAGUAACACGUGGAUAACCUACCUAUAAGACUGGGAUAACUUCGGGAAACCGGAGCUAAUACCGGAUAAUAUAUUGAACCGCAUGGUUCAAUAGUGAAAGACGGUUUUGCUGUCACUUAUAGAUGGAUCCGCGCCGCAUUAGCUAGUUGGUAAGGUAACGGCUUACCAAGGCAACGAUGCGUAGCCGACCUGAGAGGGUGAUCGGCCACACUGGAAAUGAGACACGGUCCAGACUCCUACGGGAGGCAGCAGUAGGGAAUCUUCCGCAAUGGGCGAAAGCCUGACGGAGCAACGCCGCGUGAGUGAUGAAGGUCUUCGGAUCGUAAAACUCUGUUAUUAGGGAAGAACAAAUGUGUAAGUAACUAUGCACGUCUUGACGGUACCUAAUCAGAAAGCCACGGCUAACUACGUG